AUUGAACGCUGGCGGCAGGCCUAACACAUGCAAGUCGAGCGGAUGAAGGGAGCUUGCUCCUGGAUUCCGCGGCCGACGGGCGGGUAAGUCCUAGGAAUCUGCCUUGCCGUUGGGGAUAACGUCCGGUCACGGGCGCUAAUACCGCAUACGUCCUGAUGGUGAACGGGGUGGAUCUUUGGACCUCACGCUAUCAGAUGAGCCUAGGUCGGAUUAGCUAGUUGGUUGGGUAAAGGCCUACCAAGGCGACGAUCCGUAACUGGUCUGAGAGGAUGAUCAGUCACACUGGAACUGAGACACGGUCCAGACUCCUACGGGAGGCAGCAGUGGGGAAUAUUGGGCAAUGGGCGAAAGCCUGAUCGAGCCACGCCGCGUGUGUGAAGAAGGUCUUCGGAUUGUAAAGCACUUUAAGUUGGGAGGAAGAGCAGUAAGUUAAUACCUUGCUGUUUUGACGUUACCAACAGAAUAAGCACCGGCUAACUUCGUG
rnacentral:rRNA from 1 species